ensembl:snRNA U4 U4 spliceosomal RNA
AGCUUUGCUCAGAGGCAGUAUCAUAGCCAAUGAGGUUUAUCUGAGGAGCAAUCAUUGCUAAUUGAAAACUUAUCUCUGCCUCUCAAAAGAGCCUUGCAGUCUAGGCAGAUCAGUUGUGAAGUUAUCAAAAUAA